rnacentral:rRNA from 1 species
CCUACGGGGGGCUGCAGUGAGGAAUAUUGGUCAAUGGGCGUAAGCCUGAACCAGCCAAGUCGCGUGAGGGAUGAAGGUUCUAUGGAUCGUAAACCUCUUUUAUAAGGGAAUAAAGUGUGGGACGUGUCCUGUUUUGUAUGUACCUUAUGAAUAAGGAUCGGCUAACUCCGUGCCAGCAGCCGAGGUCAUACGGAGUAUCCGAGCUGUAUCCGGAUUUAUUGGGUUUAAAGGGUGCGUAGGCGGCCUUUGAAGUCAGAGUGGAAAGUCUGUGGCUCAACCAUAGAAUUGCCGUUGAAACUGGGAGGCUUGAGUAUGUUUGAGGCAGGCGGAAUGCGUGGUGUAGCGGUGAAAUGCUUAGAUAUCACGCAGAACCCCGAUUGCGAAGGCAGCCUGCCAAGCCAUGACUGACGCUGAUGCACGAAAGCGUGGGGAUCAAACAGGAUUAGAUACCCCUGUAGU